UGCAUUAAACUGUUUCAGCAAAACGUUUGGUUAUUUCAUCACAGCAAAAGUCAUCCAUGUAUGCAUUAAACUGUUUCAGCAAGACGUUUGGUUAUUUCAUCACAGCAAAAGUCAUCUGCGUAUGCAUUAAACUGUUUCAGCGAAACAUUUGGUUAUUUCAUCACAGCAAAAGUCAUCCAUGUAUGCUUUAAACUGUUUCAGCAAAAUGUUUGGUUAUUUCAUCACAGCAAAAGUCAUCCAUGUAUGCGUUAAACUGUUUCAGCAAAACGUUUGGUUAUUUCAUCACAGCAAAAGUCAUCCAUGUAUGCGUUAAACUGUUUCAGCAAAACGUUUGGUUAUUUCAUCACAGCAAAAGUCAUCCAUGUAUGCUUAAACUGUUUCAGCAAAACGUUUGGUUAUUUCAUCACAGCAAAAGUCAUCCAUGUAUGCGUUAAACUGUUUCAGCAAAACGUUUGGUUAUUUCAUCACAGCAAAAGUCAUCUGUGUAUGCAUUAAACUGUUUCAGCAAAACGUUUGGUUAUUUCAUCACAGCAAAAGUCAUCCAUGUAUGCGUUGAACUGUUUCAGCAAGACGUUUGGUUAUUUCAUCACAGCAAAACUGGGACAUGUAUGCAUUAAUCUGGUUCAGCAAGACGUUUGGUUAUUUCAUCACAGCAAAACGGGGACAUGUAUGCAUUAAUCUGGUUCAGCAAGACGUUUGGUUAUUUCAUCACAGUAAAACUGGGACAUGUAUGCAUUAAUCUGGUUCAGCAAGAUGUUUGGUUAUUUCCUCACAGCAAAACUGGGACAUGUAUACAUUAAUCUGGUUCAGCAAGACAUUUGGUUAUUUCAUCACAGCAAAACUGGGACAUGUAUACAUUUAUCUGGUUCAGCAAGACGUUUGGUUAUUUCAUCACAGCAAAAUGGGGUCAUGUAUGCAUUAAUCUGGUUCAGUAAGACGUUUGGUUAUUUCAUCACAGCAAAAGUGGGACAUGUUUUCAUUAAUCUGGUUCAGCAAGACAUUUGGCUAUUUCAUCACAGCAAAAGUAGGACAUCUAUGCAUUUGCCAAUAUACUUAGGAGUAAGUCAUCUGUUUCAGCAAGACAUUUAGUUAUUUCAUCACAGCAAAAGUAGGACAUCUAUGCAUUUGCCAAUAUACUUAGGAGUAAGUCGUCUGUUUCAGCAAGACAUUUAGUUAUUUCAUCACAGCAAAAGUAGGACAUCUAUGCAUUUGCCAAUAUACUUAGGAGUGUGUCAUCUGUUUCAGCAACACAUUUAGUUAUUUCAUCACAGCAAAAGUAGGACAUUUAUGCAUUUGCCAAUAUACUUAGGAGUAAGUCAUCUGUUUCAGCAAGACAUUUAGUUCUUUCAUUACAGGAAAAGUAGGAUAUCCAUUUGCCACUUGGUAUAUUCAGCGAAAUGUUUGGUUAUUUCAUCACAAGAACACUGGGACGAACCUUUGCCACUGGAACAUUCAUUUCAGCAAAAUGUUUGGUUAUUUCAUCACAAGAAACUGGGACGAACCUUUGCCACUGGAACAUUCAAUUCAGCAAAAUGUUUGGUUAUUUCAUCACGAAAAAAAUGGGACAAGCCUUUUCAACUUGGUACAUUCAAUUCAGCAAAAUGUUUGGUUAUUUCAUCACGAAAAAAAUGGGACAAGCCUUUUCAACUUGGUACAUUCAAUUCAGCAAAUUGUUUCGUUAUUUCAUCACAAGAAAACUGGGACAAGCCUUUUCAACUUGGUACAUUCAAUUCAGCAAAAUGUUUGGUUAUUUCAUCACAAAAAACUGGGACAGGCCUAUGCACUUGAUCAUUUAAUUCAGCAAAAUGUUUGGUUAUUUCAUCACGAGAAAACUGGGACAAGCUUUUCACCUUGGUACAUUCAAUUCAGCAAAAUGUUUGGUUAUUUCAUCACAAAAAACUGGGACAGGCCUAUGCACUUGAUCAUUUUAUUCAGCAAAAUGUUUGGUUAUUUCAUCACAAGAAUCUGGGACAUGCAGUUGCCACAUUCUGGGACAUAACUGGCGAAAAGGAAGUUAGUAGAAAGGAGGAUAUAAAAUAGUUUCAUCACAAGAAAACUGGGACAUGACAUUGCCACAUAAAAUUCAGCAAAAUGUUUGGUUAUUUCAUCACAAGAAAAGCGGGACAUGCCAUUGCCACAUAAAAUUCAGCAAAAUGUUUGGAUAUUUCAUCACAAGAAAACUGGGACAUGUAUGCCAUUGCAACCAUGUUAAAUUCAGCAAAAUGUUUGGUUAUUUCAUCACAAGAAAACUGGGACAUUCCAUUGCCACAUUAAAUUCAUCAAAAUGUUUGGAUAUUUCAUCACAAGAAAACUGGAACUUGCCAUUGUCACAUUAAGUUCAUCAAAAUGUUUGGAUAUUUCAUCACAAAAAAAACUAGGACUUGCCACUGCCACAUCAAGUUCAGCAAAAUGUUUGGAUAUUUCAUCACAAGAAAACUGGGACAUUCCAUUGCCACAUUAAAUUCAUCAAAAUGUUUGGAUAUUUCAUCACAAGAAAACUGGAACUUGCCAUUGUCACAUUAAGUUCAUCAAAAUGUUUGGAUAUUUCAUCACAAAAAAAACUAGGACUUGCCACUGCCACAUCAAGUUCAGCAAAAUGUUUGGAUAUUUCAUCACAAGAAAACUGGGACUUGCCACUGCCACAUUAAGUUCAGCAAAAUGUUUGGAUAUUUCAUCACAAGAAAACUGGGACUUGCCAUUGCCACAUUAAGUUCAUCAAAAUGUUUGGAUAUUUCAUCACAAGAAAACUGGGACUUGCCAUUGCCACAUUAAGUUCAGCAAAAUGUUUGGAUAUUUCAUCACAAGAAAACUGGGACUUGCAGUUGCCACAUUAUUGGACAUUACAGAUUAAAAUGAGUGAUGAGAGGAAGCAAUUCGUGAAAGUCCUUGUAAUUGUCAUUGUCAAGGAUUGGAUCUUUUCCUAUAUACAGGAAGAAGUGAAAUAUUUUCAUCACAAGAACACAGGAUGUUAACUGGAUUUUUUUUCAGAGCACAGGAGCACUGGACAUUUAUUGAUUCUUUCCAUAGCAACACCACCAACAGCAGCAAAAAAGUUCAAGCAUUUCAAGAAUGGAAUGUUCUGUCCAAACAAACAUGUCUAUCACACCUUCAAGAGCUGAUAUUGGAAUCAUUAUUAGUAGAAUGGAAAACAGGGAUAAAAUCUAGCAAAAGGCCCAGUCGCACAUGGCCCCUAGAUUUUGAGCUGGGCUACUAAAUUACCUGGAAAAUAUACUGACUCAAAGACAGACUGAAAUACAGACAUUGACUGAAGAAAUGAAUGAGGACAAAGAAAAGAUGGGAGCAGAUUACAAACAAAAGCUUGCUAAUAUAGAAUCCAUACUGAAGAAAGAAAUGGCAAAUCAGAAUGAUUUAAUGAAUGAAUUAAAACAAAAUAAAGAAAUAAAGAGUCAAUGAGCUUCAGUCUGCUCUUCGUGAAAAAAGAACAAGCUAUGAAACUUCUCUAAAAACCAGUAAAAGUGCUUGGGACUAUGAACUCAUUAAUUUUAGGGAAGAGUAUAGUGUGAAAAUGUCAGAAAUUGAAAGAGAAAAAAACAGACAAAUAGAGGAUGUAAAGCAAAGAAGACUGAACAUGGAAGAAUCAUGUCAUAUUCUGGAAGAUAAAUGGAAACAUCCUUGGCUGAAAAAAAUAGUUUAAAGCAACAGUGAGACGUUUCAAUAUUUCAUCACAUGAACACUGGGACAUCUAUAGAAACAAGUGGGACAUGCAGUUUAUUGAUAUUCUAAAUAAAAAAAAAUUGCUUCCAAUUUCAUUUCAAGCUUUUGUAUUUGACCUUUAGAAUGAGAAGAUUUAUAUUCAAUUCUUUACACCGCCUCGGUGAUGUAAUGGUUAGUGUGGUCGCCUCGAGUGCGGUAGGUUGUGGGUUCCACCCUCGGCGGGGUCAAACCAAAGACUUGAAAAUUGGUAUUUGCUGCUUCUUCGCCAAGCACGCGGCAAUAAGGAGUUAGAGCAAAGACUGUUCGGCCCGGACUGUUCAGUCAGAAUAAUGUGUCUGGGUAAGUGACAUAUAUUCCUGCGAACUGUUACCUUGUGAGCUAGCAUGUUAAAAAUCCAGGUCAGUGUGUCGGUCGAGUACAAAGCAGGGUUAAUAUUCAUUAAUCAUUAUCAUGUUCUCAUCCUGAAUAUGCAUCUGACUUGCCACUGGACUUUAAACAACCAUCCAUCCAUCCAUCCAUCAAUUACUUAUUGUUUGAUUGCUGGUAACCCUUAAUUUAACUGCUACUGUAAUUUCCUUCCACUGUAGUGUAAUUGUAGUGUAGUUUGUAAUUGAAAACAGACAACCAUUUUGACUGACAUAUUGCUAUCCACAUAAGUUGCUUU